AGCGUACACGGUGGAUGCCCUGGCAGUCAGAGGCGAUGAAGGACGUGCUAAUCUGCGAAAAGCGUCGGUAAGGUGAUAUGAACCGUUAUAACCGGCGAUGUCCGAAUGGGGAAACCCAGUGUGAUUCGUCACACUAUCGUUAACUGAAUACAUAGGUUAACGAGGCGAACCGGGGGAACUGAAACAUCUAAGUACCCCGAGGAAAAGAAAUCAACCGAGAUUCCCCCAGUAGCGGCGAGCGAACGGGGAGCAGCCCAGAGUCUGAAUCAGCUUGUGUGUUAGUGGAACGGUCUGGAAAGUCCGACGGUACAGGGUGAUAGUCCCGUACACCAAAAUGCACAGGUUGUGAACUCGAAGAGUAGGGCGGGACACGUGGUAUCCUGUCUGAAUAUGGGGGGACCAUCCUCCAAGGCUAAAUACUCCUGACUGACCGAUAGUGAACCAGUACCGUGAGGGAAAGGCGAAAAGAACCCCGGCGAGGGGAGUGAAAAAGAACCUGAAACCGUGUACGUACAAGCAGUGGGAGCACCUUCGGGUGUGACUGCGUACCUUUUGUAUAAUGGGUCAGCGACUUAUAUUCUGUAGCAAGGUUAACCGUAUAGGGGAGCCGCAGGGAAACCGAGUCUUAACUGGGCGUUAAGUUGCAGGGUAUAGACCCGAAACCCGGUGAUCUAGCCAUGGGCAGGUUGAAGGUUGGGUAACACUAACUGGAGGACCGAACCGACUAAUGUUGAAAAAUUAGCGGAUGACUUGUGGCUGGGGGUGAAAGGCCAAUCAAACCGGGAGAUAGCUGGUUCUCCCCGAAAGCUAUUUAGGUAGCGCCUCGUGAAUUCAUCUUCGGGGGUAGAGCACUGUUUCGGCUAGGGGGUCAUCCCGACUUACCAACCCGAUGCAAACUACGAAUACCGAAGAAUGUUAUCACGGGAGACACACGGCGGGUGCUAACGUCCGUCGUGAAGAGGGAAACAACCCAGACCGCCAGCUAAGGUCCCAAAGUCAUGGUUAAGUGGGAAACGAUGUGGGAAGGCACAGACAGCCAGGAUGUUGGCUUAGAAGCAGCCAUCAUUUAAAGAAAGCGUAAUAGCUCACUGGUCGAGUCGGCCUGCGCGGAAGAUGUAACGGGGCUAAACCAUGCACCGAAGCUGCGGCAGCGACGCUUAUGCGUUGUUGGGUAGGGGAGCGUUCUGUAAGCCUGCGAAGGUGGCCUGUGAGGGCUGCUGGAGGUAUCAGAAGUGCGAAUGCUGACAUAAGUAACGAUAAAGCGGGUGAAAAGCCCGCUCGCCGGAAGACCAAGGGUUCCUGUCCAACGUUAAUCGGGGCAGGGUGAGUCGACCCCUAAGGCGAGGCCGAAAGGCGUAGUCGAUGGGAAACAGGUUAAUAUUCCUGUACUUGGUGUUACUGCGAAGGGGGGACGGAGAAGGCUAUGUUAGCCGGGCGACGGUUGUCCCGGUUUAAGCAUGUAGGCGGAGGUUCCAGGUAAAUCCGGUACCUUUUAACGCUGAGGUGUGAUGACGAGGCACUACGGUGCUGAAGUAACAAAUGCCCUGCUUCCAGGAAAAGCCUCUAAGCAUCAGGUAACAUUAAAUCGUACCCCAAACCGACACAGGUGGUCAGGUAGAGAAUACCAAGGCGCUUGAGAGAACUCGGGUGAAGGAACUAGGCAAAAUGGUGCCGUAACUUCGGGAGAAGGCACGCUGGUGUGUAGGUGAAGUCCCUGCGGAUGGAGCUGAGACCAGUCGAAGAUACCAGCUGGCUGCAACUGUUUAUUAAAAACACAGCACUGUGCAAACACGAAAGUGGACGUAUACGGUGUGACGCCUGCCCGGUGCCGGAAGGUUAAUUGAUGGGGUUAUCCGUAAGGAGAAGCUCUUGAUCGAAGCCCCGGUAAACGGCGGCCGUAACUAUAACGGUCCUAAGGUAGCGAAAUUCCUUGUCGGGUAAGUUCCGACCUGCACGAAUGGCGUAAUGAUGGCCAGGCUGUCUCCACCCGAGACUCAGUGAAAUUGAACUCGCUGUGAAGAUGCAGUGUACCCGCGGCAAGACGGAAAGACCCCGUGAACCUUUACUAUAGCUUGACACUGAACAUUGAGCCUUGAUGUGUAGGAUAGGUGGGAGGCUUUGAAGCGUGGACGCCAGUCUGCGUGGAGCCAACCUUGAAAUACCACCCUUUAAUGUUUGAUGUUCUAACGUUGGCCCCUUAUCGGGGUUGCGGACAGUGUCUGGUGGGUAGUUUGACUGGGGCGGUCUCCUCCCAAAGAGUAACGGAGGAGCACGAAGGUUAGCUAAUCCUGGUCGGACAUCAGGAGGUUAGUGCAAUGGCAUAAGCUAGCUUGACUGCGAGCGUGACGGCGCGAGCAGGUGCGAAAGCAGGUCAUAGUGAUCCGGUGGUUCUGAAUGGAAGGGCCAUCGCUCAACGGAUAAAAGGUACUCCGGGGAUAACAGGCUGAUACCGCCCAAGAGUUCAUAUCGACGGCGGUGUUUGGCACCUCGAUGUCGGCUCAUCACAUCCUGGGGCUGAAGUAGGUCCCAAGGGUAUGGCUGUUCGCCAUUUAAAGUGGUACGCGAGCUGGGUUUAGAACGUCGUGAGACAGUUCGGUCCCUAUCUGCCGUGGGCGCUGGAGAAUUGAGGGGGGCUGCUCCUAGUACGAGAGGACCGGAGUGGACGCAUCACUGGUGUUCGGGUUGUCAUGCCAAUGGCACUGCCCGGUAGCUAAAUGCGGAAGAGAUAAGUGCUGAAAGCAUCUAAGCACGAAACUUGCCCCGAGAUGAGUUCU
rnacentral:rRNA from 1 species